rnacentral:lncRNA from 1 species
CUUUACCAAGUGGGACCCAUUACUCCAUAUGAUAAUUAAGCCAAUACUAAACAUUUCCCUCAUUUGUGAAGAAUCAGAACAACAUCUUGUUUCAUUUCUUUCUCUCCCUCGUUCUUCAACCUCACGCCCCUCCUCCAUAACCCAUGUUUCAUUCUUCUACCCAAAAGGUUGCAUGUACUCUUUUCUAGUUAACUCUUAGUCAUUGAGCUAUAACAAAGGAUUUGAGACUCCAAAUCAUUCAUUCUUUCUCUAUUACGGGAAAUUAAUCCCAAAUCCAUCUCCACAAGAUCUUCAAAACCCUUUCCAUUAAAUUGAAGAAAAUCAGAGGUGUUUAUGGUGUUGAUUGCAUGUGCAAAUUCUGGAACAAAUUCUCAAUCAGCAGCAUGAUAAAGGAAGAGUAAGUAAUAGAGUUAAUUCUUCAAAUUCCUUAUUCUCACAAGUCCAUUCUAUGUGGUGUUAAAGAUGAUUUAUAGGAUUUAAUUAGUUCCAUUUUGGUACUUGCAUGUAAGAUUCCAAGGAGAGAAGAUCAUGGGUAUUUGAGUAGAAGUAGUUGAGAGAUCAAAGAUUAAGGAAGCUAAAAACUUGCAGAAGUUGGAAAGGACUUGGGAUUUAAGAAAUUAUUAUGGAAAAGUGAUUUAACAACCUUAAUGAACUAUUGUUGUUGCUGUACUGUGGUCUGAUGUUGUUGUUAAAACUGAUUGGUAUGAUUAGAAUGGUUAUGGCUUAAUUCUAUGGAAUUUUAGUGAAAAAUUCGUAUGACAGUACAGGUACUAAUCGAGUCAUAGCUGUUGCUGUGUAGCCCAGACUUGUGUAAUUGUUGGAUUUUCGGAUUCUACACUUAAUUCCCUUCAGUUUGGAUAUACGUUUGAUAUGUUUUGGAUUAGAAAUGGAUUCGGAAAACGCGUUUGAAGUUUGAAUAUUGAUGUUGGAAACUGCAUACGGGUUUUGGCAUGGAUUUUGCAGAAUAAGCUAAAAUGUGUGUUUAAGUUGGGUGAAUGAUUCCAGAACUGAAUAUGUAUGCUUAAUUGGCUGAGUUAGAGCUUGGUUUGAAGUUGAAAUGAAAAAAUUAGAGGUUGGAAGUCAGUAGCAGUUUUAUGCAGAAAAUCUGUCACGAGUUUGCAUAUGUGAGCAGCACCAUCGGAUGGUUCUAAGCGGGCGAGAUGGCUGGUUAUUGCUAGCAAUUUCAGGUGGGUUCCUUUAGAAACUCAACCUUUAGCAUAGCCUAGAACUUUAGUUGCCCAAUUAAAUUAUGUAUGAUAACAAUAGAUUAGAUAUUAUGUUAGUAUCCCCAAUUAUGAAUUAUUGCAUGAUAACAUAAGUUAGGAUCAAUUAGUGUAUGAGAGUAGCUUAAUCCCAAAGCUUCUCUCCAUUUUAAUCAUGUAAUAUAUAUUGCAUUAUUCAUGGCUAGGAUGAGAAAGGAUUGGUGGUGAGAUUUUCUGCAAAAUGGUGAAAAUAUGGAAACAGGGUACUUAUAUGACAUUCUCGCUAAAUGGGAGUAUUAGAUAAGAAUCCUGCAUAAUUUUUUAAAAACAUGGACAAUGUCACUCUUUUUGGAUCCUCAAUCUUCCUAGAUGUUUUCUGUGAAUAUUGUAAGUAUAAUACGUAAUUAAAAUGUUAAUUACACGAUAAGUUAUGAUAAUCAGGAAAUCAGAACAAUUUAGUUUUCCCAGGGAAGGAAUUCAUGGGUAGGAUAACAAUCAGGAUAAUUAAGUUAAGUUAAGAAAGUCAGUCAAUCAUGGUGGUUACUUAUGUACCACGUUAUGGGAUUCGAGGAAUCCAAUCAUGUUACGAUUGUGAGCUUCAUGCCNNNNN